rnacentral:tRNA from 1 species
UUAAUUGAAACCAAAAAGAGGUCUGUCACUGUUAAUGAUAUCAAUGGAAAACAUCCCAAUUAAA